AUGGCCUGGUCAUGGCUUGAUAGGAUCAUGGAGAGAGGGACUACGGACUCCUCUGCCGUACCCGACGAUACGUCGUCUAGCCACGUCAUCAAAGUGUCGCUCGGUGAAGUGCUCUGCGCGGGAGCCGUGUGCUGGGCGGCGUGGAGGUACUUCCGGUACAUCACAUGCUUGCGCACCUACGGCCGGGACAUGACGGCCAUGGCCGGCAAGGCCGAUCCGAACUGCGCCGCGCUUGUCGGCGCUGCCCGGGUCCGCAAGACGGCCAUCGCCGAGGGCUCGCCCAAUGCAUCGUCGCCGGGAAGGUCCCGUCCAAGCUCGCCGGAGCGCGUGUCAUUGAGCUCAAGCUCACGGCGAUGGUGGAUGAAGGGGGCGGCUACACGCGGCAAGGUGAUCCUGUUCGUCGACGAGAUGCACAUGCUUCUUGGCGCCGGAGCGGCCACGGGCACCCACAUGGACGCGGCCAACAUGCUGAAGCCAGCAUUGGCUCGUGGCCAUAUCCGAUGUCUGGGCGGUUCUCAAAAAAAGGAUCCUGCACGGUUCUCAAAAAAAAAAGGAUCCUGUACUCGAGCGGCGGUUCCGAAAGGUGCACGUUGA
rnacentral:rRNA from 1 species